GACAGAGGUGCCAAGCGUUAGGCGGAAUCACUGGGCUUAAAGCGUGUGUAGGCGGAAUUCUAAGUACCUUGUGAAAUCCCACGGCUCAACCGUGGAACUGCUUGGUAUACUGGUUUUCUUGAGCCACUUAGGGGCUGUCGGAACAAGCGGUGGAGCGGUGAAAUGCGCAGAUAUCAGGAGGAACACCAAUGGCGAAGGCAG
rnacentral:rRNA from 1 species